rnacentral:lncRNA from 1 species
GUUUUCUUUUUUUUUCUGAAUAUUAACACUCAUGCAUGCCAUGAGGGAGUUAGACAAAGAUAUUCUAAGAGAGCUUUAUGCCCAUGCUGCUCUGUUAAAGGGGAGAGGAAUAUUUCUUCUAACCAGGUAUCAUUGUGUGCCAUGGAGUACCUGGCCCCCCUUUUGUAAAUGUGAGAUCAUAUCCCUUCCAACUACUGAUGCACCAUGGAGUUUGUGGAGCAGGUUUUGUAAUUCAUUGUUUCCCCAUGGAACUGUUUUCCCCAGCAAUUGGUAAUUAUUGGAAUUACACCCCACCUGCCUCCAUGGAAUCACGGUGUCUGAAGCGUCUGCUCAGCGAGGUCCUGCAAGGUAAGUGGAGCUAAUGUUACACUGAGAUUUACAGUUAGGUACUUGAAGGAUCACCAAAGUCACCCAGACCACUUGCUCUGGUUGCAGUGGCAAUAUAAAAUAUUGUCUACCUGACUGCCAAUAGAAGCUCUCAUAGAAACUCUAUAAUGACAGAGUAAAGCUUGGUUAUUGAAUGCAAUUUUCUGGGAGAAGUUGGAUACGUGUGUGUCCCCAAUGCUCCUGUAUGAGGAAAAUUAGAUUGGAACAUAGGCUCUAGAGCUAGCUGGAUGACCUCGUGGGAGGAGGAGUGGGCAGCAAUAUCAAAGGCGUGCCAGUGGUGGUGAAAAGUAAAAAGGUCUCCCCCCCCCCCUCAGCUUUUUACUCAAAAUGGGAAGUAAAAAUGGUCUAACCCUAACUUUAACCAUCACCGUGACCCAAUAUUUACCAUGUCCCAGUGCUGCAGUGGAUUUAAAGCUCAGGACCUGCUCGAAGUGUCUUGCAGGACCUCAACGAGCAGCCUCUUCAGCCACCAUAAUCCUUAGCAGGCAGGCCGGGCAGAGUUCUAAAUAUUGUUUAUUACAAUGAAAAACAUAGUUCCACAGGUAAACUGAAUUUCUUACAAUAUCAGAAACCCGUUGGGGUACCCAACAAUGUAUAUAUUUUUUCUGUGAAAGAGACACUGGCGAGUACAAAAAUAUAUAUCUAGUUUGUAUCGGUUUGUGUGGUUCAAAGUAUUUGUCCGCAUGUGUAUGUAUGCAUGUCUGUCUGUCUGAGUGAAUGACUGAAGGUGUCUCUCUAAUGCUAUUCAGUAGUUUUGCAACGUUCUUACUUUUUUUGUUGAAUGAAAAGUUCUAUUUCAUAAACCUUGACAUCUCACAGGACCCAUUUGCAGCAAGAGCAUACCAUCACAGUAUGAAGCUCUCCCAUUAAUUUUCCUUGUGUUCAGCUGUUUGUGAGUCAACAAUAUUCCUUUUUGACCAAUUGUGCUUCAAUAUGGCAAUAGUUUGAUAUGGGUAAUUCCAUUUAAACUGAACAAACUGCAUUUUACAGAGCAUCCGUAGCCAAAUUUGUUUCAGGUUUGCAAAACUACAAUCUCAGUAUUUUUCGGGAUUGGAGGAUAAUCUUAAAUUUAUUAAAAACACAGGGGCUUCUUUUAUGCUUUCACUUUCUUUUAUAUCCCUCAGCAGCAAAGAAAAUGUGAGAGAAAUCAUACAGAAAAACAAAAAGUGCACAUAUAUUUGGACCCCUACGGGGAGCAGGAUUCCGAGGUUUCUGAUUCAUGCUUAUGUUGUGAAAUGUGACAAGCAUGAGAGUUAGUGAAAGUGUUUUUUCAUAUUUAUGUUUCACCACCCUUCUGGCAGGUGCAGGUAUUUCCUUUUUUGUAUUUUUGUAUUGUUUGUUUGUUUUUUGUUUGUUUUUUUUUUUAAACCUUGGACUCUUGUGAGGGAGAGAGUCUGCAUUAAUUGACGUGUUUGAAGAUUUUGGAUUGCCUGUCAUUUAUGAGGUCUGCACAUAUUUUUAUGGCAUGUCAACAAUUUUUUUUUUCUACAAUAAAG